AUUGAACGCUGGCGGCAGGCCUAACACAUGCAAGUCGAACGAGUGGCGGACGGGUGAGUAAUGUCUGGGAAACUGCCUGAUGGAGGGGGAUAACUACUGGAAACGGUCGCUAAUACCGCCUACUAUCAGAUGUGCCCAGAUGGGAUUAGCUUGUUGGUGGGGUAACGGCUCACCAAGGCGACGAUCCCUAGCUGGUUUGAGAGGCGGACCAGCCACACUGGAACUGUGACACGGUCCAGACGCCUACGGGAGUCAGCAGUGGGGAAUAUUGGACAAUGGGGGCAAGCCUGAUGCAGCCAUGCCGCGUGGAUGAAGAAGGCCUUCGGGUUGUAAAGUACUUUCAGCGGGGAGGCGUUACCCGCAGAAGAAGCACCGGCUAACUCCGUGCCAGCAGCCGCGGUAAUUC
rnacentral:rRNA from 1 species